rnacentral:lncRNA from 1 species
ACCGCGACCGCGGACGCUGCUGCUGAGGCGCCCGAGCACAGCGGGCCGCGGCUCCCGGGGACCCCAGGAGGGCUGCUCCGUGCAGCUUCAUUCACAAAAAAGGGCCCACAACCCUCCUCGGGGCCCGCAACCGAGGCCUCUCAUUGGCCAGGGCUGCGUGACGUCACGGAGACGGGGCCUUUCUACAGGCAGGUACCCGGUGACGCCAUAAAGAAAAGUCUGAGCGGUUUCACCAAUCAGAGAGAAGGUGUGCCCACGACCCCUCGGGCUGCCCACUAACUUUUGUCCAUGUGUCCUGCGGGUGCCCGCAUCCCGGCUCCUGGCUUCCUGCUGUGAGUCCCCAAGCCCUGCGCAGCCCUGCCCUGGUGACUCACGCCAGGUCUUUGACAUGUAUAUGUUUGAAAUAUUUCUUGGUUUUCCUUGUAAUUCGCGCCAAGCGAAGGAGGCUCUUGCCAUGGCUGCCGGAGGGAAGAGUGUGGACUGCCCCAACUGUCCGCAGUUGAGUGGCCUUAAGGUGGAGUCCAUCUCAAAACUUAACCACUUCCACCAGCCGCGAGCUGUGGACCUGCGUACGCCCAGCGUUCAAAAGACCCCCGGGGCCGCGGCGCUGACGGAACCGGGUGGGAACACGACGGACCUCAGGGUUUGCACCUCCAGCGCCUCAUCCCGGGACCCGGGACCGCCUUAACUCGGUGGUUUUCUACACGGUUGCUGUGGAAGUCAGAGGUGUCCACAGGCCCGGUUGUACUGUGAAGCAUUGCAGCAAGUUGCAAACUCAGCUCUUCAACUUUUUCUUGAAAAUUGUAGGGUCGCAUCCCCUUCUUUUCCUUCUGGGUUAAAACACUGGCUGAUCUUUGGAACUUAACCGCGGUUCUCAUUUUGGAGGGCCUUAAAACGAAUGUCCGCGACAGCGUCCAACAGGGCGAGACUUUGGAAGGCAAUCUUCCUAGAAUCCGCGGCCCCAAGUUCUACAUCCACAAGCUGUUCCUAUUUUUCACCCGCAUUUUUACAGCUUUUCCGGCAGCUCAGCGAUUACUGCCCGGCUUUGGAAGAGAAUAAGGUUUUCAGUGCGUCCUCCCGGGAAGCCUCUCAGAAAUGUAGAUUUCCCCAGUGCCUCAGGGAGGGGCUACUUGACUUCUAUUGUUGUGGAUUUCCCUUAAGUCCUGCUAAAUAAGGAAGGAGGGGACUGAGCGACGGUUUCCGCUGCCUGGAACUAGAGAUCACCACUGCUUAAUUUGUGUUUGUUAAGCUUAAUGCUCGGGUGCUUUCUUCCCCUGUUUCCCCAAAGGAAAUAGUGAAGGCCUUAGAUCUAAAAUGGCCUAAGCGGUUUGCCUAAGGGGCCUGUGGAGCGCUGGGUUCGUGAGCCCUGGUGGGCUGAAACCUUGGGGUCACAGGCCUCUGUUUUGGAGGCCUUUCAUACUGUUCUAGGACUCGGUGGUAGAAAAGGCCAAGUGUCCCAGACAACCAGGAAUUUUCAAAGAAUAAGUCUUGGUUUGAAUAGAUAAUACCUAGGAGUUAUCCCGAUGUGGAAAUACAGCAUCCCACAGUGAUCUGGUUUUUGAGAGUGGCUUACCUAAAUGUCAAGCUAACACCGAGUGCUAACAAGUUCCCUUAAUGCCAGUUCAUUUUCUCUCACUUUCAAACAAUGUUUGGGCUAGACAGAAUGCAUGUGAUUUAAAUAAAAGGAAAAGGUCAUUAAUUCAGUUAGUUAUAUCAUUUAAAUAUUUUCACAUUUUGCAAAUAUAUAAUUUUAUGUUUUUUCCAUAUAAUAAGUAUCAUCAAAAAACAAGGAAUAUUAGGUGCUGGGGUCUAGCUUAGUAGUAAGCAUUCUCCAGCAUGUAGGAGGCCCUGGGUUACAUCCCCAGUACUGGUCAUAGUGGAUAAACAAGAUAUAUCAAUUACAUUUUGUGAUUAUGCAGCCGUAUAUUCUAGGAAUAAAAGUCCAAUGCUAGGUGUAUUUGGGGCUAGGAUUGUGGCUCAGUGGUAGAGCACUUGCCUAGCACCUGUGAGGCCCUGGACACCAAAUAAAGAUAAACAAAGAUAUUGUGUCCAUCUUUUUAAAUAUUUUUAAAAAUAUUUUUUAAAAAAACGUUUUGUUUUGGUACCAGGAAUUGAACCCAGGGGCAAUUUACCACUGAGCCACAUCUGCAGCUCUUUUUAUUUUUUAUUUUGAGACAGGGUCUCACUAAAUUGCUGAGGCUGAAUUGAACCUACAAUCCUCCUGCCUCAGCCUCCCAAGCAGCUGGGAUUACAGGCAUGGGCCAUCAGGCCAGCUAUUUAUGAAAGUUUUAAGUCCUCUUUAUAUUUGUUCUUAGGUCAUGUUUAGAUUCUGUCAGAAAAAGUGCUAUUUCUUAGCUAUUUUGUGUGUGAGGACUUCCUUGGAACAAUUUAACUCCCCUCUUCAAUAAGUUGACCUCUAGGCUGAGAGUUUUUUUUUUUUAAAGAGAGAGUGAGAGAGAGAGAAUUUUUUAAUAUUUAUUUUUUAGUUCUCGGCGGACACAACAUCUUUGUUUGUAUGUGGUGCUGAGGAUCAAACCCGGACCGCACGCAUGCCAGGCAAGCGCGCCACCACUUGAGCCACAUCCCCAGCCCUAGGCUGAGAAUUUGAUCACAGGAAAUUUGAGUUUGUACUUUAGUAAUAGAAUUUUAGAGCCUGAAAGCACCCAGGACAAUAUGUGGUCCAAGGCUGCCCUUUCACAGUGAGCACCAGGGAACACAGAUGCCAGGCCCAGAGGAGGCCCUAAUGCCCUCUCCCAGUCUCUCUCCAGGAGUCCUCUUUCCAGGAGUUGUCUGAGCUUAGAGAACUGGCAUCUGGUUGUGCUUCUCAGAUUCUCAACAGUAUGGGCAACCAGCACCCUGAAAAGCAAGAGG